rnacentral:rRNA from 1 species
GUGCCAGCCGCCGCGGUAAUACGGAGGUGGCAAGCGUUGUUCGGAAUUACUGGGCGUAAAGGGCGCGUAGGCGGCCUGACAAGUCAGAUGUGAAAGCCCCGGGCUCAACCCGGGAAUUGCAUCUGAAACUGUUUGGCUUGAGUUCUGGAGGGGGUAGUGGAAUUCCCAGUGUAGCGGUGAAAUGCGUAGAUAUUGGGAGGAACACCUGCGGCGAAGGCGGCUACCUGGACAGUGACUGACGCUGAGGCGCGAAAGCUAGGGGAGCGAACGGGAUUAGAAACCCGCGUAGUCC